rnacentral:snRNA from 1 species
CGAUGUGAGAUGAUCUGGCUGCGACAUCUAUCACCCCAUUGAUUGCCAGGGUUGACCCGACUGAUCUGGCUGGUUAGGGGGGUGUCCCCCUCCUCCUUCACCGAUCCCCCCCAAAGCUGCAUGCUUGAAGAGGAGAAGAUGGGUCAAGGGUAUACGAGUAGCUGCACUCCCCUGCUAGAACCUCCAAACAAGCUCUCAGAAUAAAGGGGAUGUGAGUUGGCAACACCUGUCUAGAGUAAGUCAGUACUUUGUGGU